rnacentral:rRNA from 1 species
AGUGAACGCUGGCGGUAGGCCUAACACAUGCCAGUCGAACGGCAGCACAGUAAGAGCUUGCUCUUACGGGUGGCGAGUGGCGGACGGGUGAGGAAUACAUCGGACUCUACUUUUUCGUGGGGGAUAACGUAGGGAAACUUACGCUAAUACCGCAUACGCCCUACGGUUGAAAGCAGGGGAUCUUCGGACCUUGCGCGAUUGAAUGAGCCGAUGUCGGAUUAGCUAGUUGGCGGGGUAAAGGCCCACCCAGGCGACGAUCCGUAGCUGGUCUGAGAGGAUGAUCAGCCACACUGGAACUGAGACACGGUCCAGACGCCUACGGGAGGCAGCAGUGGGGAAUAUUGGACAAUGGGCGCAAGACUGAUCAAGCCAUACCGCGUGGGUGAAGAAGGCCUUCGGGUUGUAAAGCCCUUUUGUUGGGAAAGAAAAGCAGCAGGUUAAUAACCCGCUGUUCUGACGGUACACAAAGAAUAAGCAACGGCUAACUUAGUG